rnacentral:tRNA from 4 species
GGGAGUUUAGCUCAGCUGGUUCAGAGCAUCUGCCUUACAAGCAGAGGGUCGAUGGUUCGAAUCCGUCAACUCCCACAA